UUUCAAGCAAGAAUAUUUUGAGUCGAGCUCGAGCUCGAGCUUCCAACUACUCGACUCGACUCAGCUCGAUUGCACCCCUAUCUUCUCUCAUUCUAUUAUUUUGCCCCAUCCUUGUGAUGGGAAAGUGAUGUCACCGAAGAUGAUGGCGGCAAUAGUAGGUGUAGGAGGGCAGUAGGAGACAAGGCAAAGAAGGGCAAUGAGGUUGUUGGGCUUGCCAGUGGAGAGGAGGGUAGAGUGAGCAAGUAGGGAAAGAGGGGAAGUGAGUGGGUUAGCCAUUAAGCUUGCCGAUGAGGAGG
rnacentral:lncRNA from 1 species